rnacentral:rRNA from 1 species
AUUGAACGCUAACGGCGUGCUUAACACAUGCAAGUCGAGCGGCAGCACAGUAGUAGCAAUACUAUGGGUGGCGAGCGGCGGACGGGUGAGUAAUGCAUAGGAAUCUGCCUUGUAGUGGGGGAUAACCCGGGGAAACUCGGGCUAAUACCGCAUAAUCUCUACGGAGCAAAGUGGGGGACCGUAAGGCCUCACGCUAAAAGAUGAGCCUAUGCUGGAUUAGCUAGUUGGUAGGGUAAAGGCCUACCAAGGCAACGAUCCAUAGCUGGUCUGAGGGGAUGGUCAGCCACACUGGGACUGAGACACGGCCCAGACUCCUACGGGAGGCAGCAGUGGGGAAUAUUGGACAAUGGGGGAAACCCUGAUCCAGCAACGCCGUGUGUGUGAAGAAGGCCUUCGGGUUGUAAAGCACUUUUAGUUGGGAAGAAAAGCUCAAGGUUAAUAUCCUUGGGUGAUGACGUUACCAACAGAAAAAGCACUGGCUAACUCUGUGCCAGCCGCCGCAGUAA